AUACGUAGGGUGCAAGCGUUAAUCGGAAUUACUGGGCGUAAAGCGUGCGCAGGCGGUUUUGUAAGACAGUGGUGAAAUCCCCGGGCUCAACCUGGGGACUGCCAUUGUGACUGCAAGGCCGGAGUGCGGGAGAGGGGGAUGGAAUUCCGCGUGUAGCAGUGAAAUGCGUAGAUAUGCGGAGGAACACCGAUGGCGAAGGCAAUCCCCUGGGCCUGCACUGACGCUCAUGCACGAAAGCGUGGGGAGCAAACAGGAUUAGAUACCCUGGUAGUCCACGCCCUAAACGAUGUCAACUGGUUGUUGGGGAUUUAUUUUCUCAGUAACGAAGCUAACGCGUGAAGUUGACCGCCUGGGGAGUACGGCCGCAAGGUUAAAACUCAAAUGAAUUGGCGGGG
rnacentral:rRNA from 1 species